GGUUAAGUUAACAAGGGCGCAUGGUGAAUGCCUUGGCACUAGGAGCCGAUGAAGGACGGGACUAACACCGAUAUGCUUCGGGGAGCUGUACGUAAGCUAUGAUCCGGAGAUUUCCGAAUGGGGCAACCCAGCAGUUUUAAUCAACUGUUACCACUAGAUGAAUUCAUAGUCUAGUUGGAGGUAAACGCUGUGAACUGAAACAUCUCAUUAGCAGCAGGAAUAUAAAGAAAUUUCGAUUCCCUAAGUAGCGGCGAGCGAACGGGGAACAGCCCAAACCAAAGUGCUUGCACUUUGGGGUUGUAGGACUGAACAUUUGAGUUACCAAAGAACUUGAUAGUCGAAGGAUUUGGGAAAAUCCGCCAUAGAUGGUGAUAGCCCAGUAGAUUAAAUCAAAUUCUCUCAGUUCAGGAUCCUGAGUACGGCGGAACACGUGAAAUUCCGUCGGAAUCCGGGAGGACCAUCUCCCAAGGCUAAAUACUACCUAGUGACCGAUAGUGAACCAGUACCGUGAGGGAAAGGUGAAAAGCACCCCGGGAGGGGAGUGAAAUAGUUCCUGAAACCAUGUGCCUACAAUAAGUCAGAGCGCGUUAAUGCGUGAUGGCGUGCCUUUUGUAGAAUGAACCGGCGAGUUAUGAUCCCGUGCAAGGUUAAGACUAAAAAGUCGGAGCCGUAGCGAAAGCGAGUCUGAAAUGGGCGAUUUGAGUACGAGGUUAUAGACCCGAAACCAGGUGACCUAUCCAUGUCCAGGUUGAAGGUGCGGUAAAACGCACUGGAGGACCGAACCCGUGUAAGUUGAAAAUUGCUGGGAUGAGGUGUGGAUAGCGGUGAAAUUCCAAACGAACUUGGAGAUAGCUGGUUCUCUCCGAAAUAGCUUUAGGGCUAGCCUCGGAUUAAGGAUCAUGGAGGUAGAGCACUAUUUGGACUAGGGGCCCGUCUUGGGUUACUGAAUUCAGAUAAACUCCGAAUGCCAUUGAUUCAUGUCCGGGAGUCAGACGAUGAGUGAUAAGAUCCACCGUCGAAAGGGGAACAGCCCAGACCAUCAGUUAAGGUCCCUAAAUGUAUGCUAAGUGGAAAAGGAUGUGGAGUUGCAUAGACAACUAGGAUGUUGGCUCAGAAGCAGCCACCAUUUAAAGAGUGCGUAAUAGCUCACUAGUCGAGUGAUCCUGCGCCGAAAAUGUACCGGGGCUAAGCAUACUACCGAAACCAUGGAUGCGACCAUUAGGUCGCGUGAUAGGAGAGCGUUCUAAGGGCGGUGAAGCAAGAUCGUGAGGACUUGUGGAGCGCUUAGAAGUGAGAAUGCCGGUAUGAGUAGCGAAAGAUAGGUGAGAAUCCUAUCCACCGAAUGACUAAGGUUUCCUGGGGAAGGCUCGUCCUCCCAGGGUUAGUCGGGACCUAAGUCGAGGCCGAGAGGCGUAGACGAUGGAUAACAGGUUGAGAUUCCUGUACUAGUUAAGUGCGUUUGAGCAAUGGAGGGACGCAGGAGGCUAAGAUGUGCAUUCUGUUGGAUUAGAAUGUCCAAGCAGUAAGUCUUGUGAAGAGUCAAAUGCUUUUCACUUUAAGGACAAGCUGUGAUGGGGAGCGAAAUUUAGUAGCGAAGCGUCUGAUGUCACACUGCCGAGAAAAGCUUCUAGUGAGUACUUAACUACCCGUACCGCAAACCGACACAGGUAGUCGAGGAGAGAAUCCUAAGGUGAGCGAGUGAACUCUCGUUAAGGAACUCGGCAAAAUGACCCCGUAACUUCGGGAGAAGGGGUGCUGAUCGCAAGAUCAGCCGCAGUGAAUAGGCCCAGGCGACUGUUUAUCAAAAACACAGGUCUCUGCAAAAUCGUAAGAUGACGUAUAGGGGCUGACGCCUGCCCGGUGCUGGAAGGUUAAAAGGAUGGGUUAGCUUCGGCGAAGCUCAGAAUUGAAGCCCCAGUAAACGGCGGCCGUAACUAUAACGGUCCUAAGGUAGCGAAAUUCCUUGUCGGGUAAGUUCCGACCCGCACGAAAGGCGUAACGAUCUGGGCACUGUCUCAACGAGAGACUCGGUGAAAUUAUAUUGUCCGUGAAGAUGCGGACUACCCGCGACAGGACGGAAAGACCCCAUGGAGCUUUACUGUAGCUUGAUAUUGAGUGUUUGUACAGCUUGUACAGGAUAGGUAGGAGCCAUAGAAACCGGAACGCUAGUUUCGGUGGAGGCGUUGGUGGGAUACUACCCUCGCUGUAUGACCACUCUAACCCGCACCACUAAUCGUGGUGGGAGACAGUGUCAGGUGGGCAGUUUGACUGGGGCGGUCGCCUCCUAAAAAGUAACGGAGGCGCCCAAAGGUUCCCUCAGAAUGGUUGGAAAUCAUUCGCAGAGUGUAAAGGCACAAGGGAGCUUGACUGCGAGACAGACAGGUCGAGCAGGGACGAAAGUCGGGCUUAGUGAUCCGGUGGUACCGUAUGGAAGGGCCAUCGCUCAACGGAUAAAAGCUACCCUGGGGAUAACAGGCUUAUCUCCCCCAAGAGUCCACAUCGACGGGGAGGUUUGGCACCUCGAUGUCGGCUCAUCGCAUCCUGGGGCUGUAGUCGGUCCCAAGGGUUGGGCUGUUCGCCCAUUAAAGCGGUACGCGAGCUGGGUUCAGAACGUCGUGAGACAGUUCGGUCCCUAUCCGUCGCGGGCGUAGGAAAUUUGAGAGGACCUGUCCUUAGUACGAGAGGACCGGGAUGGACAUACCUCUGGUGUACCAGUUGUGCCGCCAGGCGCAUCGCUGGGUAGCUACGUAUGGAUGUGAUAAACGCUGAAAGCAUCUAAGUGUGAAACACACCUCGAGAUGAGAUUUCCCAUUCCUUUAUGGAAGUAAGACCCCUGAAAGAUGAUCAGGUAGAUAGGUUAGAAGUGGCAGUGCGGUGACGCAUGAAGCGGACUAAUACUAAUCGGUCGAGGACUUAACCAA
rnacentral:rRNA from 1 species